GAGCUGGAGUUUUGUGCCGUGCUGGGCCU
rnacentral:piRNA from 1 species